rnacentral:rRNA from 1 species
GUAGGUGGCAAGCGUUGUCCGGGAAUUAUUGGGGCGUAAAGCGCGCGCAGGUGGUUCUUUAAGGUCUGGGUGUGAAAGCCCCCCCGGGCUCAACCGGGGGAGGGGUCAUUGGAAACUGGGGAACUUGAGUGCAGGAGAGGAAAGUGGAAUUCCACGUGUAGCGGUGAAAUGCGUAGAUAUGUGGAGGAACACCAGUGGCGAAGGCGACUUUCUGGCCUGUAACUGACACUGAGGCGCGAAAGCGUGGGGAGCAAACAGGAUUAGAUACCCUGGUAGUCCACGCCGUAAACGAUGAGUGCUAAGUGAUGGGGGUUUCCGCCCCUCAGUGCUGCAGCUAACGCAUUAAGCACUCCGCCUGGGGAGUACGGUCGCAAAGACUGA